rnacentral:rRNA from 1 species
ACAGGAUUAGAUACCCUGGUAGUCCACGCUGUAAACGAUGCUCACUCGCUGUAUGCGAUAUACCGUAUGCGGCCAAGCGAAAGCAUUAAGUGAGCCACCUGGGGAGUACGAUCGCAAGGUUGAAACUCAAAGGAAUUGACGGGGGCCCGCACAAGCGGAGGAACAUGUGGUUUAAUUCGAUGAUACGCGAGGAACCUUACCUGGGCUUAAAUGUAGUUCGACAGAUUGUGAAAGCAGUCCUUCUUCGGACGAAUUACAAGGUGCUGCAUGGUUGUCGUCAGCUCGUGCCGUGAGGUGUCGGGUUAAGUCCCAUAACGAGCGCAACCCUUAUCGUUAGUUGCCAGCGGGUCAAGCCGGGGACUCUAGCGAGACUGCCACCGUAAGGUGAGAGGAAGGUGGGGAUGACGUCAAAUCAGCACGGCCCUUAUGUCCAGGGCUACACACGUGUUACAAUGGCCAGUACAAAGGGCAGCUACCAGGCGACUGGAUGCUAAUCUCUAAAGCUGGUCUCAGUUCGGAUCGAAGUCUGCAACCCGACUUCGUGAAGCUGGAUUCGCUAGUAAUCGCGCAUCAGCCAUGGCGCGGUGAAUACGUUCCCGGGCCUUGUACACACCGCCCGUCAAACAAUGGAAGCUGGGGGUACCUGAAGUAUGUAACCGCAAGGAGCGUCCUAGGGUAAAACUAGUAACUGGUGUUAAGUCGUAACAAGGUACC